UCUUGUUUUCCUUGUUAUGUGACAGCGUUGCUUCAUCUGAUUAACUGGUUUGGUUUAGCUCAAUUUCCUUGAUACUACUUUUUGAGCUGAAAGAUGGAUGGCGAAUUCGACAAGGAGCGGUUCUUGAAGGAGUUCGGUGGAGAUUAUGGUUAUCCAAAUGCACUCCACAACAUUGAUCAAAUCAGAGCUAAUGAUUUUAAGCGAUUGAAUGAUGUAGUAUACUUGGAUCAUGCUGGAGCAACUUUAUAUUCCGAAUCGCAAAUGCAGGGCGUUUUUAAGGACUUGAGCUCUACUCUGUAUGGAAAUCCCCAUAGCCAGAGUAGUUGCAGUGUGACAACCAGCGACAUUGUUGGGGAGGUUCGUCAGCAGGUCCUUAGUUUCUUUAAUGCAUCUCCGAGAGAGUACAAAUGUAUAUUCACCUCUGGGGCGACAUCUUCGUUAAAACUUGUUGGUGAGACAUUUCCAUGGAGCCGUGGGAGUAAUUAUGUGUACACAAUGGAGAAUCACAACAGCGUUCUUGGGAUCAGAGAGUAUGCCCUUAGACAAGGUGCUGCAGCCAUUGCAGUUGACAUUGAAGAUAUUACUGAGUCUGAUGCAAUGAGUGGUAGGAAAUCUGGCAUUAAGAUUGUACCACACACUGUACAAAGGAGAGGCGAAACUGACUGCGGGAAAAUAGAUGAAACCAAUAUGGCAUCAUAUGAAGCAGUGGAGAAAUCGAGUUUUUACCAUAAUUUAAACAGGAGCUCAUAUUCACAGACAAUCCUCAAUCGAAAUCUUUGUCUAACUUUUUUACCAGUUUGUAAUAUUUACAAGGGUGAGACAUACAAUUUAUUUGCAUUUCCGUCGGAGUGCAACUUCUCGGGUCUUAGAUUCAACCUUGAUCUGGUUAAUUCUAUAAAGGAAGGUUCUUGUCAAAUACCAGGAACUUUUCCAACUCAGAGUGGGCACUGGAUGGUCCUGAUUGAUGCUGCAAAAGGAAGUUCAACAUGCCCUCCUGAUUUGUCAAAAUACAAGGCAGAUUUUGUAGUCGUCUCAUUUUAUAAGCUAUUUGGAUAUCCAACUGGAAUUGGAGCUCUUAUUGCUCGAAACGAGUCGGUUAAGUUAUUGAAGAAGACCUAUUUCAGCGGAGGCACAGUGGCUGCAUCUAUCGCAGAUAUAGACUUCUACCAAAGAAGAGACGGUGUUGAGGAAUACUUUGAGGAUGGCACCGUAUCUUUUCUCAGCAUUGCAUCCCUUCAUCAUGGAUUCAAAGUUCUUAACACAUUAACCAUGCCUGCUAUUUCCAGGCACACAAGCUCACUUGCCUCAUACGUUAGGAAUGCAUUGCUGAAGCUGAGGCAUGAGAACGGAAAUUGUGUUUGCAUAUUGUAUGGCAUUAAUGAUAAUGAGUCAUUGUUCGAUUCAAUGGGUCCUGUAAUUUCAUUUAACCUGAAAAGACCUGACGGAUCUUGGUUUGGCUAUCGAGAGGUGGAAAAGUUGGCAUCCUUGUCCAAUAUCCAGUUGAGGACAGGGUGCUUUUGUAAUCCUGGUGCAUGUGCAAAACAUCUUGGGUUGUCUCAUUCGGAUCUUGUUUCUAACAUUGAGGCAGGACAUGUUUGCUGGGAUGAUCAUGACAUAUUGAAUGGCAAACCAACUGGAGCAGUUAGGGUGUCAUUUGGUUACAUGUCAACAUUUGAAGAUGCCAUGAAGCUUUUGAAGUUCAUCAAGAGUUCAUUUGUGCCCCAAAUGACACAUAAUAUAACUGGGGAAAGACCUUAUUCUGCAACUGAAGGGGUUGAAAGGACUUCAAGAUACUUCCUCAAAUCAAUCACUGUUUAUCCCAUCAAAUCUUGUGCUGGCUUCAGUGUGGGGAGCUGGCCUUUAAGUAAUACUGGAUUGUUGCAUGAUAGGGAAUGGCUUCUCAAGAGCUUCAAUGGAGAAAUUUUGACCCAGAAGAAGGUUCCUGAAAUGGGUUUAAUCAGCACGUUGGUCGAUCUAAAAUUAGGACUGCUUAUUGUUGAAUCUCCCCAUUGCAAAGAAAAAAUGCAGAUAGAGCUUUCUUCAGCUCAAUGUAUAGGUAAACGAGAAGUGAUGGAAAUACAUUCUCAAAGAUAUGAAGUUGGAGGCUACUGGAAUGAAAUCGACAUUUGGUUUAGCAAUGCUGUCGGUCGCCCUUGCACCCUUGUCAGAAGCUAUGCUGUCCAAAAUCAGACGCUGCCAAACAGGGAGCAGUGUAUAGUAGGGAUGUGCAGAGAUUUCGAGACUAGAUUGAAUUUUGUCAACGAAGCUCAGUUUUUGCUAUUAUUGGAAGAAAGUGUAUCAGAUCUCAACAGCAGAAUAAGAUCAAAGUUGCGUAACGACUCACUUAACCAGCCAGCUGAAAUUAAUCCAAUGAGGUUCCGUCCAAAUAUUGUCGUCUCUGGUGGUAAACCCUAUGCCGAAGAUGGUUGGAAGAGUUUGAAGAUUGGAGAGAGUAACUUCAAGAUUGACACGUGCAGUCCUUGGGUGGUUGCAACCGUUGCCAUAUGAUCAAUAUGACCUCUACAGCCGGGACAGUGCAGAGGUCCAACGAACCGUUAGCCACUUUAGCAUCUUACAGACGACUAAAGGGGAAGAUAUAUUUUGGAAUAUUGUUAAGAUUAUGCGAUUUUAUCGACCAAGAUGCUUGGAUUUCCGUGGGACAAGAAGUGAUGCCAAACACAGAUUAAAUUUGCAAGUUAUAAGGAUGCACACUUUAUCCUCGGCAAUUUGGGGUUUACAUGCGAAUAACUGUAGAUAUAUCUGCAAACGGAGUUCACGAGAGCUUGACUCGAUGAACGAUGGUUAGUUCUAUUCAUUUUAAACAUUGCAUUAUAGUAGUACUCUAUCUGUAUUAUCCAUAGUCCAUCAUCAAACAUCAUGUUGUAGAUUAUGUCCACCAUAAUAAAUGAGAACGUCUCGGAAUUAGUCA